AUGCAUGUCUAAGUACAAGCCGAACUAAGGUGAAACCGCGAAUGGCUCAUUAAAUCACACCUAAUCUACUGGAAUGUUAGCAGUUACUUGGAUAACUGAGGUAAUUCUUGAGCUAAUACAUGCGAAAAAUCUCGACUCACGGAGAGAUGCUUUUAUUAGAUCAAAACCAAACAGCUUCGGCUGUUCCACUGGUGACUCUGAAUAACCUUGGGCUGAUCGCAUUGCCUUGUGCAGGCGACAUUUCCUUCGAAGGUGUGCCCUAUCAACUGUCGACUGUGAUAUAGACGCUCACAGUGGUUUUGACGGGUAACGGGGAAUCAGGGUUCGAUUCCGGAGAGGGAGCCUUAAAAACGGCUACCACA
rnacentral:rRNA from 1 species